UAGAGGGGUUAAAAACGUUGAGACACAAAACAAUAAGCAUAGUAAGCGCUACAAUUAUUCAAGCCAAAAGAAGGAAAAAGCGAUAGAAAACACAAUCAAGUUAAUUAACCGUGAAGCAUGCGCGCGGGAAUUAGCGUUUGUGACGUCAAAUUUCUUUCAGUGCCUUUGAUGUCUCGCAAAUGUCGGCGUAGCGGUUAGUUCGAGUGAAGAAUUGUCUUUUUAUGGCAACGAAAAGGAACCAAAGUCAACUGAUAGUCAUCCUCUGUGGAUCCCGAAACAAUCUAAGUUACAAAGCGUAACGUCUAGUGUCAACUGCUUCAAUUUCACAGAGAAAUCUUGGCACUGGUUGCUGUUAUUUUCUUGAUCCGCCACUUCGAAAGUGAACUACUGCAAACGGAAGCUCCGCAUGCUCAGAAGGGAGUUUUUAGGCAGUCUACCAUCGGUUUUUCUCCAUGGAUUAAAGUUAUCAGGAGAAAGCUUGUGAUAGUAAUUGCCAGAAAAUACUGAGCAAGAUCAACCAAAGGGUUCUUUUCCACGACGAAUUGGACCAUCCAAGUUUUGCAUGGAUUCGUUGCAGCUCGGAAAGACUCUGUUACUGUUUUGGCACUUAACUCUAGAUUUGAGGUGGAGGAUUGAUCACCUUUCUGGAACGAAAGACUCAUUUCCAAGUUAAUAUGGAUCGCUCUGAAAUAAAAUGAACAGCUUUUCCAAAGAUGGCCAAGUGAAGAAAUUCAAAGGAGCCCAUCUGUGUCAGUCCGAACUUUUUGAAGAUUAUCUCUGCCAUGUGAAGUGUUCUGUCUUGCAUUGUUUAUCUAAACGCUCGCUAAAUUGAAUUAACGUUCAACAUGUAAGUGUAAGUACCUUUAAGCUAAUUUUCUACUUAGGCCAAGACUACUCUGACAAGCUACCAAAGGCUUGUAAUCCUACCUAGAAAUAGUAAACAUUUUAUGGUAAAAUAUUACGACUCGAACGUUUUCAUCUUUUGCUUUUUAUUUUCAUGUGAGUUUGUUUUUCGUUUUUUAUCGUGGUUUGGUUAGGGUUUCCAUAAUUUCUUUGUUUUUCACACAGGCUUGUCAUUUUGUGGUUCCCCUAGUUGUUCUCGGUUUGAAUUUUGUUGUUUUGAAAUGUUCACUUUUUUCGACGCUGGUUUCCUUCGCUUUCCUUCAUGUAGAUUCCUGAGACUUAUUUGGAGCUAGUUGUUUCAAGAUUGACAAUAUAAACUAGCAGUUUUCAAAACAAAUACUUUUAAGUCGGGUUGGUUCUAGCCAGAGUGUAAUGCACGGAUACUUGGAACCCUAAUUUUUUUCAGUGAAACGUUUUUAAAGAACCAUAUUUUAUUUUCUUCUCUAAGUACCCUCCCUUCUUCUUUCGUUGAACUGUGCUCCCUUAACUUUCCUCAGUGACGAUAAUCUAAGUUGUUUCAGAUAUUAAUAGCAUAACAAGCGAGGAAGAAGCAGGCCGUUAUAGGCAUCUUAAGAGCAAUUCUGGGUAAAUUUCGAGGGUUAUUUUCACUACGGGCGACAAAGCAGGUGAGCAUGUAUUAUUACAUCACUGAGACAAAGUCUAGUCAUGGAAGACGGCGGAAUAGGAAUAUUCAUUGUACUAAAACCUUCUGACUAAACGUUUUAGAUUGAUAAAUCGAGCUCGAAGUUUUGAUUUUCCGCUUUAUUCCACGUCAUAAUUCCUAUUCACCUUUCUCAAUAAGCCACAAUCGGCAAAUCAUCUAGUUGGUCGUUUUUGAUAUUAUUGAGAGAAUCUGAAAAAUACGAAGACAAUUUUUUAAAUUCAAAACAAGUGGAGCUCAAGUUAAGACUAGUUAUGUCUUGUGUAUCUCUUGGUUGUUUUCAAAGUUCUCUAAACACAAUUCCAAAAAAUUUCAUGUCUUUCUAUGAACGACUUCAUUUUCAAAAUGGCUACGAAGCCAAAUGGUGAUGCUAAAAAAAGUAAUAGAGAUUAAUUUAUAAUUUUUUCUGCGAAACUGAGUAAUGUUAGCUGGGCUUCACAACUCCUUUUCUUUUUUAACUGUGUUUCAACUAUUCACAUUUUGGUACGACGAAAAAGUGGGACAUUUCCAACUUUAUAAAGUUUUGGGCGAAUCUCAAAAAAAGCCACCCAACUGAAAUUGCUAAGGUUUUUCAGGUCACUUUGAAAUCCCUCGAAUUUCCUAAAUUCGUUUCCGUUUACUUUUGCUUUGAGGUGCUACUUAUAAGUAUAUAUAACUCUGGGAGCAAGAAUUCCCAAAAUAACAUUUAUAAAAAAUAAAAAUGAAAUAUAAAAGUUAAACGAAGAUCAUAAGGUGGGGAUACUUGGAGGUUGCAAAUGCUCUUUUAAAGUUUUCAGUACUAAUCGGCUUAAACUAAGACCGAAAAGCUUCAUGGCUUCUCACGUGUGUCGUAGAAGGCUUACAACGCCUGCUGUGGAGUAAAAGUUCUGGUCUAAGCGUUUUUCUAGCAGUUUUAUGUGGGUCUGCUUCUAUGGCUGAUAAUUUGUUUUUAAAUUUAGCUUGACGGAAGACGAUUUCGCUCCAAAGUUGAAGUUGUCGGCUUUGUGUCGCUUCCUAGGUGUUAGAAAAUAAUCCUUUAGCACAGACCUGCUGUAGAGAAGUGCAAUCAACACCUGCGGACUUUAGAUUCACAAAAGUAAUUAAAUAUUUUUAUUGUUCGGCUUAUCUAGUUACUUGAGAGGUACUUUAUGUAAUGAUCCUUCCGUCCAGCUGCACAGCCUCUCUGUCUGUUUGUCUAUUGUAGUACAGUUUUCUCCGAGAGAUUAGCUGGGUUAUAGUCAUGAAACUUCAGAGCUCAAAAUUCGAUGGUACAUCGCCUAAAUGCCGCCUACUUGAGUUAAUCCCAGCAUUAGUUACGUUGUUUUUGCAACCUGUUGAUUUUCUCAGUACUCAAAUUAAAUGCGUUUUACGGCUAAAAAAAGCACUCAAGGUGCAUCAGUUUUACCAAGCUCUAGAAUAUCUAUUGUUUCACAAAAUUUACCGAUAGUUUCACUUUCUUUAAAUGCUGCCUUCAGCCAAGAAGCAGAGAAAAGUUGGAUAAUCUUCUUGGCCUAGCUGCCCCCCUAUAGAAACUAUCAGCACCAAAGAUUGUUUGUUGAUAUAACACAGCUUGUUUCCAAGCGAGUGCAGAGAUCAGAUCAUCGACCCUCGCGUACGUAUGUUUUUAAAAGUUGUAAACUGCUUCCAAACGUAGUCGCCAGUAUUUUAACUGGAGCUGACUUCGAUACUAAUUAGUUUGUAGAAUUGGAGGCUGAUGUCUAAGUACCCUUUGGCUCCUUCCAUGUUUUGAUCACUUCUCGUCAGAAAUAUGCUUACUCAGGCAAGUCUUCAUUCUUCACAUUAUUUUUUUACGUUUUUUUUUUUGACAUGUCAUUCUUUGGUGAUUUUCUUCAUGUGCAUUUUACAAAGCCAACACCACAAUAUCCAAUACAUUAUAUACUGAUUUAUUUAGUUUCUUUCAAUGGUCAUAGUGCGACUCCGUUUAUUUUUACUUGAUUCUUAAAUCACAAUCGUAAAAGAAUAUGCCUGUCAUGUCUCGUGGCAUUUUCUAACAAGUACGAUAACAUAGAGUGAUAAAGAAUAUCUGUCAAAAAACAUUACUCCAUCAAUAUGAAUAAUUUUUCUCGAUCCUGAUUAAAUUGCCUGAGGCACUAAUUAAGGCGUUCAUGUGCUCUACACUUUCUUUUAAAAGCACUUUAAAAUGUUCUCAAAUUUUGCUCACCAUGCCUAGCCUCGUUGCAGGGCAAGUUCAGUUUGAUGUUUAUCACAGACUACGGUCUGGCGGGCUUGGAAAAUUUCAAAAAUGUAGAGUGCUGUUAGGAUGAACAGAGACAUCGAGGCCGUAAUAUAAUGCCAUGAAUUUUUCAUUCAAAUUUCCUCUUUGUUUCUUUUGCACAUUUUGGGUAAGUAAUUCUGCAAGUAGUUUUCUUAUCUAUUAAUUUUAUUAAUUUCCUGAGGUUAUAGACUGUAGACGAAAUGUGUUUUGCUUUUAUGAAGGUAAACAGAUGCGGAUAUGAAAUCAUUUGGAUUGAACUGAAAUGAAAAGUCUUUUCAAUGAAUAUUGCUCGAAGGUUGUGUGACUAAAAAAGGAACAAUUACCCUUAUAAAUUUCAAAUAUAGCUUUUUGUGACACAAUUCAAACUAAGUUUUGUGUAAUUGUAAAAGCUAGGUAAUGCAAAAUUAACGAUUGAUUCGUUUCCAUAUACUUUUGUUACCGUGUUCUCAUCUUUUCCGCCCUUUUAAGAGUGAACAUUAAGGUGUUGCUGAGUCUGUAACUGUGUAAAUUCUCUCAAUUACAUGCAAGUUACGAGGAAGACUGAAAAUACAGUGUUACUAAACCGUAUAUAUCCAGGUUGCCAUUUUAUUUUGAGAAUCCUCGAGCUAAGGCUAGAUUUCCCUACAUCCUCUUAAGACUAAGAACAAAGAAGAAUAAAAUCUUAUACCACAAUAUGAAAUGAAGCCCAAAGGUUUUUUGGGGAACUUAGUCUUUACACGAACUUUUCUCAAAACAUUAAUAUACGAAAAGUGCACGUUAUAUUUGCAAACAGCGAUGAAUGUUACAAGUUUUUUCAAAACAACUAAACUUUGAAAACCAAUCUUAGCAUAAGUUAUUAAUAAUCUUGCUAUUUUCCAAACAUAUGGACCUGUCUAUGAUAAACUGAUCUCUUUGAGACAUUUACCACAGUUGUAAAGUUUAGCGAAUGGUUACAGGUUUUGGUCUAUCUCAGUUGUCAAUUGUUAGACAUAACCAUAACCGUUUAGAAUUUGUGCAUUUUGUUUUUUGCAUGAGUAUCUUUUGCAAGACAAAACAUGAAGAUUCAGAGAUGCUGUUGGAUAAAAUUGGUUACGUAUCAUGUUAUGCGUUUAGUAAAACUAGUAAAUAUUGAAUAUUGUUAUCCAAUUUCCAUAAAGGCGGUCGUCAUUUUGGCAAUUCAAUCAGCUGUUGUUUUGAUUCUUAACGUUUCAUGAGGCACUUAUGUUGUUUGCUACGAAACCUGUGAGUUUUAGAAUUGUUAACGUUUUCAAUCCAGGCCAACACUCUCAUUCUUAUACCAAAGUUCAUAAAAAUAGGUACAAUGCAUUCAUCUCAAAAGGGCGGGUAGUUUUCUAGGUGACAAUUAGGGCUCUGAUAACUGUUCUCAUCCUUUUAAAUCAGACUGUCUUCUAAACAUACUUUAGUCUGAUACCCUCCUGGUAUUAAGGUGAAAAUUGAAAGCUUUCUUGCGACUAAAUAAUUUUCCGUGAUUUUUCUCCCUCUCAGUUUUGUUCGAUAUUCAGUAUUUUCCUUUCACACCGUUCUUUAUUUUUUUAGGUUUUUUGUUAAAGGGGCAACACACGUCCGAACUAAAUGACUUGAGAAAAGCAUUGUUAGGAGAAACAUGCCGCUUCAUUACGCAUGGAAAACUUCUUCGACAGCGAAUUUUGUUCCAGUACCAAGUACAUAACAAGGUUUCUUUCCAGAGUAUUUCAAAACAUUUUCGACAAUUUGGUCAUCAAUGUAUCGCGCCACAGCCACAAAACCUCAAGUUUAUACUUUCGAUUUUCCUGAUGAUGCUUCCAUCAAGUCCCUUGUUUUCGAACCACCUGCGGCGUGCUGUUGUUCAUUGGUGUUUUCUUUCUUCAAUUUUUGUGAAUAUGGUAAAAAUAUAUUUCUUAGUGAUAUAACAACGAUACACCUCGCGUCUAAUUAGAGCGUUUUUCCCUUCAAAAAAAUUACAACUAAUUCUGCACUUUUCCAUCGAAACUUAUUCACGUACUCAAAGCAAAAUCAAUUUUCAUAUGUUAUAAAGCAACCAGAACUCGGAAUUGACCCAGUUGUACGAUAAACUUGGAUUUGUGGUUAGAGUUGAAGAAAACUUCAGCAACUAUCCAGUGAAAGCCGCUCGAAACUUAAAAGUAUUGUUUUAUGUUUAAGUCAAGAUAUUAAAGACGGUCGUGUUGGAUGGAAGAGAUGGUUAUUGAAGCGAGAUCUCCAAAGCUGAUUUUCUCCUUUAUAGAAAGAGCAAUGCAGGAAUUUGUUGUGAAAUUAUUUUACGGUUUUCCAUUUUUUUGUAACUAACUGGCUUGGGCGGCCACGAAGACACCCUAAGUUUUAAGAUUUGUAAAUUGUAGCGAACAAUGAAUAUCUGCUAUUCAGUAAAUUAUUCAAUUGCUACAUUGCAGUUCUAUUGAUUUAUCUUUAUCACCACAGGUUUGACUUUCACUACAAGUUACGCACUGUGUAACCUGUUUACUCCGAUGAACUUAAUCAUCUAAUUGCGUGUGGGAGACUCACUCGUGGUCAUGUGUUGAGGCUGUCGAGAAUUACUCCAGUUUUGCGUAUCAUCGCAUUUGACGAUUGUGACAUACAACAGUAUAACAUGUUUAUUGUUUGAGAAAAGAGGGGAAGCAGAGUGAAGCUAAUUUAGUGGCCCCAAUUACCCCUGACCGUCUGUUAUCAUAACACUUGCCAAGAAGGAAAGCCAGGUAACAGUUGAACACACCUUAACGACAAAUAAAAUCUGUUUUCAGAAUUCUGCAAGUCAGAAAAGCGCGGUUUUCUGACCAAGAUUUGCACUUGAACAAACCAGGUACCUGCUCCGAGAUAAGAGCACAGUGCUUUGAUGUUUGAGCGAUGCUACACAGUAGUGACGGUAUCAUUUAGGACACCAGUUAUAACCGGGUGCAGAACGGCAGCCUCAGCGUAAAUGUUAAUCAAACAUAAGGCAUGCGCAGCCCCGUUAACUCGGACGUUGACGUCAGUGUAGUUUCAACAAUAAAAGAUGAGCACGUUUAUGGAUGUACCUGUUCACAGGCUGUAUUCACCGCCUGUUGAUGAUCUUUGGUGAAAUACAUAUGAAAUAAAAAGUAAUUUACCAGCUACUGACUUCCACUCCAAUUAUAAAUGUAGUAAAUAUAUUUUGUUGUAUGGCAUGUAUCAAAACCUUGAACGUUUAGUGCACCAAUUUACAUAGAAUAUAUCGAUAAAAUAAAUCAAGUUUCAAGAAUUCAAAGACAUUGACAAAAGGGGAAGCAAUUGAACCUGUGUGAUGGUUUUAUAGCGGCCUAAUUCUAAAAUAAAUAGGCUUAAGAUAACAUCAACGAUUAUAAUUCGACGUUCGAUACAGAGCGGCAAAAAGGUCGCCGAGAAAUUUCAUAGUCCUGAUCAGUUCUCUCUCUUUGUAACACUCUGGUUUUGCUUUUGCCUCCGACAUCUGUGAAAAGAAUGGUCUGGAUAGUAACCUGUUCUAACAACAGGCGUCUUCAUUCACAAAUGGUUGGGCGCCAAGGGCCUUGCCCUAACAACCUGUGGGAGAAAUCUGAAAUUGUUAAGACCACUGUUUUAUUCCCUAGUCAGCUAUUUCAUUUUUGAACAACGUGAGAUUGUACAUUAACCAGCUUUUAGAUGAAACAAUGACUACCUUUCUACAUCAGUUCACCUUUGCGGCACUCA
rnacentral:misc_RNA from 1 species